rnacentral:rRNA from 1 species
UACGUAGGUGGCAAGCGUUGUCCGGAAUUAUUGGGCGUAAAGCGCGCGCAGGUGGUUCCUUAAGUCUGAUGUGAAAGCCCACGGCUCAACCGUGGAGGGUCAUUGGAAACUGGGGAACUUGAGUGCAGGAGAGAAGAGUGGAAUUCCACGUGUAGCGGUGAAAUGCGUAGAGAUGUGGAGGAACACCAGUGGCGAAGGCGACUCUU